GGACGAGGGUGCCUAAGUUAAGGCUUGAAGCCGCCUCCAAAGCACUUCGUCCUCUCUUCCCUCGUCCUCCCUCUCUUCUCUUACCUGCCAAUAGAAUCACCUUAUAACGAGUCAACAGAACAAGGAAGAGUGAGGCAAGCGAAGAGGGGAAGUGGAAGCGUAGAAGGCAAUGGUGGGCGCCUUGUCAUCGUCCUCCUCCUCGUGCGCCUCCUUCGGCUCCUUCGAGGAAGACGUCACCGCCGCCGCCAAGCCCUUCCCCGGCGCCGCCUCCGUCAAGUUCCUCUGCAGCUACGGCGGCAGGAUUCUCCCCCGCUACCCCGAUGGCAAGCUCCGCUACGUCGGCGGCGACACCCGCGUUCUCUCCGUCGACCGAUCUGUCCCCUUCUCAGAGUUGCGGGAGAAGAUGAGGGAGCUGUGCGGGUGGGGCGCGGUGAGCGUCCGGUGCCAGCUGCCGACGGAGGACCUCGACGCCCUCGUCUCCGUCAAGUCCGACGAGGACCUCACCAACGUGGUGGAGGAGUACGAUCUCGCCGGGCGCGAGAAGAUCAGGGCCUUUCUGUUCCCCCCCUCCAACAAAGGCGGCGGCGAGAGCCCUACCCAUCGGGCCACGCCGAUCUCGGUGGCGGUGCCCGCUGAGCGCUGCGUCCACCAGAUCUCCGCGCCGGCGAGGCCCGCCGGCCGGUUCGAGAAGCCCCCCGCCGCCGGGGAUCUUCGCCACCACGGCCACGGACACCACCACCACCUCCACGGCCGUCAUGCGGCCCCCAGGCCGUGCAACUACCUCGUGCACCACGGAAGCCACUGGCAAUGAUACAAUCACCACCACCACCAUCGCCAGUGUUUUUGGGCGAAGAACUCGAGGUUACUUUACGGCGGAGGGAACCCUUUUCUUCAGGGGACCGAAUAAUUUUUUAUCAGGAAAUACAAAGAAAAUCUAAUUAUUAUUAUUUUAUGAAGAUAAAAAUAUACAAAUUCUUCAUAUUUUAUUUUUUUUCUACAACAUUCUUACCCAAUUGGACCUCUUUUUUUUUGUGUUCAUCCUAAGGUAAGUUGAUGAAAC